rnacentral:rRNA from 1 species
GAUCAUGGCUCAGGACGAACGCUGGCGGCGUGCUUAACACAUGCAAGUCGAACGGAAAGGCCUUUUCGGAGGUACUCGAGUGGCGAACGGGUGAGUAACACGUGGGUGAUCUGCCCUGCACUCUGGGAUAAGCCUGGGAAACUGGGUCUAAUACCGGAUAGGACCGCACUUUAGUGUGUGUGGUGGAAAGUUUUUUCGGUGUAGGAUGAGCCCGCGGCCUAUCAGCUUGUUGGUGGGUAUUGGCCUACCAAGGCGGCGG